rnacentral:lncRNA from 1 species
GCAAUGGCAGAUUGGGACCUACCACUGGAGGUAUGGGUAGCCCUGAAAUCGGAGGAAGGGGUAGCUUAGGGACGGUCACUGGAGGAACGGGUAGCUUAGGUACAGUUACCGGGGGAACGGGUAGCUUAGGGACUGUCACUGGAGGAACGGGUAGCUUGGGGACGGUCACUGGAGGAACGGGUAGCUUGGGGACGGUCACAGGAGGAACGGGUAGCUUAGGUACAGUCACUGGUGGAACGGGUAGCUUAGGGAUGGUCACAGGAGGAACGGGUAGCUUAGGGACGGUCACCGGAGGGACUGGUAGCUUAGGGACGGUCACCGGAGGAACUGGUAGCUUAGGGACGGUCACCGGAGGAACUGGUAGCUUAGGGGCUUUAGGGGAGUGCUUUCCGCCCUUCCGUGGGUUGCAAGAGCCGCAUGCGAGAGAAUGUUGGGGGAGAUAGAUAAUGCAAAUGAGGAAGAGGCAAAGAGAGAGAGAUGAGAGUUUGGAGGAGUCCAUGUUGAGUAGAGUGGAUGGUGUAACUAUACGAAAGAGUAUAUGAAUAUAUAGAGGGAAAAUGAGAAGAAGAAUUCACGUGAAGAUGGGGGCUACUUCUGCAAUAAGAAGAGACGCCCCAAAAUAAGCAUGGUUGGCAAUUAUCAUAAGAAUACAAGAUUUCCUUGAUGACCCAUCGCUAUAUAUCAUCACAUGUCGACCACACUUUUUUCACUUUUUUUUUUCUAAGUGCCUCUUGUUCUUGGGUUAACUACAACUUUUAACAACGUGUAACUUCAGUUUCAACAGUACAGUACAUUUAACUUGUAGGAAUUGUAAUGAAUCAACUUAGCGAGACUAGGUCAUUAUGAGAUAUCAUCAAUACUAAAUAACAUUUUGAUGAUGUAAACACUCUAGGAAAAGCAGAUAAUAUAGUAUCAUAUGGUUUUCGCUUUAGUGUGUGGCUUCAUAAGCAUCUCCAUGCAUGAGUCGACUGCUAAGGAACAUAUAGAUCUGCACCAUAGUGAAGACGGCUUAGUCUAUUCAAAACACUAAUGUUGUGCCUUUCGAGGACCUCCCGAGACUCGAAUUCGAAUGCACUCUCCAAAGGUAUUAUGUUAGGGAAAAAACCUUAUUAAACCAAAUAUGUUACUGUUUAACCCAUACACGAAAAUUAGAUAUAUAAAUGUUGAACAAAUAGCAUAUAGUUAUAUCCAAUAUAUACGUACAUGAGAGGUAAAGAAGACAGCAAGACUGACAUGUGAAAUUCGGGAUACACUUUUGUUGUUUGGUGAUUUUGUUACGUAGUGUCAUUAAAGAAACGAUCAUGUGUGCGUGGACCAUCUUCUUCUUUUUACCGCUCAUUUCCCUUUUUACCAUAUCUACUACAAAAGAGUCCGAACUGACCAUUUAAUGAACGAGUACCAUUCAAUUCAUAAACUCCCCGUAUCAAUCUAACUGACACUGUAAAAGUUAUAAUGUUAAUAUAUAAAAAUAAUAUGGUUAUUUAGCAUGAAUAAUAACUUUUUAUAAUUGAGAGUAUGUCUAGCUAACAUUGGUGAUUGGUGCUUACAUAAAUCAUAUUUUUCAAACCACUUAACAAGAACUUUACAUAUUCAAUGAUAAACGAAUCACAUUUAUACAAUAUACCAUUCAAAAAUAAUAUUGUAAGAUGAUUUGAAAUUAAACGAUUGUAAUAUAUAAUGUGUUAAAAGUAAUGUAUUAUAGAUAUCUUGUAAUUAUUUAAAGGGUUUUGUGCAAAAAAAAAAACCACUAACUCAUACAUUUUUCCAAUUUACUAUCCAGCUCUAAUAAAUGCACAUUAAUCCUAUGAAUCUAAAAUAAUACGCAUUGUAACCCUUUUUGACCAUUUUUUGCUACCAUCAAUUUUGUAAAAUAUUGAUAUAUAAUAUGUUAAAUCAAAGCUCUCGCGACCAAGAGUUCAACUCUACCUUUAAAAAUUUUAAAAUGUAAUGUAUGUAACCGUAAAAACGCUUGUAAUAUGCAUAUGAAAUUUAUAUUACAUAUUAUGUUAAACUUCAUAAGAUUAAUCUGCAUUUGUUGGUAGUGCAUUUGUUAGAGGUGGAAGGUAAUGUUGCAAAAAUAGAUGAGUUAAAAGAUUUCUUUUUGCACAAAACCCUUUAUUUAAACUACUAACAAUAUAAUAUAUAAAUAAUUUAAAACAUAUAUCUCUAUAAUUCAUGAAGUAAUAAUGGUGUACCCUAUCCUUACCAACGAAUAAUAAAGAAAUGAUAUUAACUCUGAUUCAAAAGCUAUAUAUAAGAUAUUCUUUUUUUUUCCUCGGGAGGGAUACGAAUCCGGUAACAUGAAUCAGUGUCCAAUAAGAGCCAGUGGUCGUAAAUUCCAAAUGACAGAUGGAUGACUCAUUUUAAUUCGUAACUUUUGUCAGCUGCGAUAUAUGCUAAUGAAACCUGAGGUGCUAGAUUUUGAUUUUAAUGGCUUUAGAUUCUUACUCAACACUCAAUGGCCCACUCGUUAAUCUCUUACCUUCUAAAGUGAGUUAUGAUCCACUGCUUCUUUCUUCUUGUAGAUAGAUGGACCUGUUUUUUUUAGGUUGUGAUUUGUGGACAUUAAUCAACAACCCAUGUUUAUACGUGAUAAUGUCUGGAGCUAUAUGUAAAGGCGAUAUGGAGGACAACAUUCCUCUAUUCUAACUUUAAAAGCCAUGUAGUUAGGGCUGGACACCAAUAUUCUUUUUUUUUUUGCUAAAUUGUAAAUAUCAUUUUGAUGAAAAAUCAGGUUUUACAACAGUUGUAUAACCUAAAACAUUUGAACUCUUUGGCAAAAAAGAAUAAAAAAACGAAGAGCCAAUCGAGAGCUGCAUAGAACUCGGUAGUUUCAUAGCAGCCACAACGCUAUUAACUUGCGAAAAAGGAGUCUGUUUCUUCUUGAGGUGAUAACGUUUUUGAUUUUGCGGUUGAUGCACUUGAAUAUAGAAUGCGGAGAGAGGGAAGUAGCGUUGUGCAGGACAUUGUUAGGCUGCUUCAAGAUGUGGAAGACCUUAGACUGAACGACAAUAAUUUUAAGAACUGAUGAAGCCAAUAUUCAUCAUUUUCAAACAAAAAAUAUCUUUUGUUUGACACCAAUAUCCUUGACCAGCUUCAAACAAAGGAUAUACAUCAUUUUUAAGUCGGGUAAGGCAAAUGAGUAUAAGGAUUCUCAUUACACAUCUGGUUGCCAAAAACUUUUAGUCAAAUACUAGUUACAAUCUCAGUUUUUUACCCCAAACUUUUUGCCACUUAAAAAACUAGGGGUGGGCAUUCGGGUAAGCGGGUCGGGUUCGGGUUCGGGUAAAACCCGAUCAGGUAUAAAGAAGUUUAGGAUCUAAUAGGGUAAAUCUAAAAUAUCGGUUCGGUUUCGAUUCGGGUCCAACCGGGUUCGGAUAUAGAUUUGUGGCCUUUUUUUAUCCAGAUUUUUCGGGUAAAAUUUUGGAUUUCGGAUAAAAUUUAGAUUUUUGAAUAAAAUAUUUGGGUAUUUUCGGGUUCGAGUUUGUUUUUUCGGGUAGAGAAAUUUAGGAUCCAGUAAAGUACAUCUUCGGAUUUGGAUUAAGUUUCAGCUCUAAUUUUUCGAGUUAGUUUCGGUUCGGAUAAUCGGUUCUGGUUUUUUGGCCCGGCUCUAUAGAAAACCAUCAAUAAAUAUUUUAAUCCUAUUUCUGCCUCAUUACUCGAGAAAAUAUUCGACCCGUUUUAUUACUUGAUAAAUUUACAACUAUAUAUUUAUGUAAUCUAUUUCAUAUUAGUAAAAUAUAUUAAAUUUGUUAUUAAAACCAAAUAUCUUUUGAGAUUAGGGCAAUCAAAAGUUAAGGUCAAGCAAAUGUCUCCUUUCUAAAUGUUUUUGUGGGUAACGGUAAAGGACAAAUAUACAGCCCAUGCCCAGACCUACAAGUAGCGACUCCAUUACUACACAGUAAGAUUUUUAUUAAUAAAAAUGUGCAUGGUUUCAUUUAAAAGUCAUUGCUAACACUUCACUUUACAGUAAUAUUCAAUUUCAUACCUUUAAACGUUAAUCAGAAUCGCCAAUUGGAAGCCAGUCACUGGAAUCACCUUCCGAAUCCUUGCUAUGUCCAACUUGGCUCUUGCUGAGCUGAACCCAGCUUGACCCGCUUGCGUUUGAUGCUGGUCUUUUCAGUGUACUCCUGUUGGGACUUGGCUUCUCCGAGAGAUCAUCGACAUCUAAAUCACUAAAGGAGAUUACCUCUUCAUCUCUGAAACUCCUCCGUUGUUCUUCAGAUGACUCAUCACUUAUCUCCCUUUGCUCAAUUUUUAGAGUCUCUAUCUUGUCAAUGACUCCCUCAACGGUUUCUGUUUCCCUACUGCUACCUUCUUCAGGAGUUUCGUGACCAGUAGUGCUCUUGCUUGACCCUGUCUCUUUCUUUUGCAGCUUUAGUAAAAGUUGAUCCCUUGUUUCAAAUACCUGUGCCGCACAAUAUAGUUAUUAAAGUUUCAGAAAUAGGUACAAUAGUAACUUGGGAAAAAAUGCAGAGCAUAAAAGAUAUAAAACAAUCCAAUUUUAAAAGCAUCAGGCAAAAAUACAUUUUUUCCUGAGGCUAUACUUGUUCUUAUUGCAAUCGGUUGAAGGGGUCAUUAUAGCAUAAACGUUUACGAUUUUAAUAAUAUUGGAUCAAUACUGACAUUUCAGAAGAAUGUAUUUCCAGUAUACAGUCUUACCUUGCAUGUUGCUAAGAGUUCAAAAUCAUGCCCAUUCAGUCUCGGCAUCAGCAAAAUAAAAUAAAUCAGCCAGAAGUGUUCAUCAUCCAUGUAACUACUAACUUGAUUCUUCACAGCUACAAGGCCAGGAACCAAAUCUUCAAUGGCUGAUGCAUGUGCCCUUUGAGCCUCAGACAGUUCAAAUUCUGCAAUGUGGACAUGAAAAGUUGGAGAAAAACUUCAGCAUAAUUCAGUAGGUAAAAUUGAUGUAAACCACCAAUGCUUUUUAUCAGGAAGUGUUUCGACAACAUUUUCAAGCAAACCAAGCCUAUAUACAAAAGGUUGUACAGGAUGACGAUAUGCUUCGCAAUAAAAUAAAUAAAAAGAUUUAAGUGGCAUAUGGAUUGAACUAUAUAUAUAUAUAUAUAUAUAUAUAUAUAUCCCAAGAAGAGACUGCAGACCCCGUCAAGUUUAUUCGUAAUUCCUGGAGAUCUAUCUAAAGAACAGGGACUUCAAAAAAAAAAAUUAACUGCAGAAACAAUCAAUCUUGUCCAAACAGGUCUAGAAUAAAACACAUCAAGAGUUAAAGACUGAAGCAUAAUCAUCUUUGGCGACUGAAAACAAGUCAACUAUAUUUCCAAGAACAAUCAUGUUUAUUCCUGCAUGGCUGCAAGUUCGUCGACAAUAUCUUCAAGGUAUGAAAAAUGUGAUCUACAGAGAGUAAUGGGACCCCGAGAUCCUAAAGACCUGAGCUUGAAGAAAUAUAUCCCAAGAGGAGAUGGCAGGACCGGUCUAACCUAAUCUAAAAUACUAGGAAAUCUCUCUAAAGAACACCAGAGGCUACAAGCAAUCAACUGUACAAACAAAAAAAAUAUUUUCCUAAUAAAUCACAGUAAGAAAAUCAUAACUAAACAUAGAUAGUUAGAAACCACCAAUGCGGUGCUUCGACUAUACUUUCAAACUAACAAAGCCUAUAUACUGGGAACAAAAAUAUGCUUGAAGAAAUAUGUCCAAAUAAGCUUAAUCUGUAACCCUAGUGAUCCCACUAGAAAGCCAAUCAACUGUAGAAGCAAUCAAUCUUUUCCAAAUAAAACCUAUUUUAGUAACAAUUAUGUUUGCCUACUGGGAAAAAAAAAAGUCAAUGCAGAGCUUAAGACUAUUGAGAAUCAAGCUUUAUGAUUCCUCUAUUGACUAUACAGGAGCAUUACCAGUAUCGAGUGACAAUGGAAAAUCUGUCCAACAACCAGGUUUCGUCGAGAUUUUAACAGCGAAAUCGACUACUUCUUCAGAGAUUCCAGGAACUUGAUCGUUCAACGGAGAUCUUCUACUACUUUCUCUAUCUCUUAGAUUACUAGGAAAUUGGAGUAAAUUAGAUGCGAAAUUGGAGAAAUUUCCACGAAUCUCGGCUAGAUCGUUGCGGAUCCCGAGAAGACCUAGCUGAGUUGGUGAAUUAUCAGAGGAGAGUCGGCGUUCGUUUACAGGUGGAGAAGGAGGCGGUGCCAGGAAAGCUGCGACGCCACGGAGUAAGGAAGAUAAAUCUUCUUUGACACCGCCAUGAGUUGUGGAAGGAUCGGGAUCGGGAUCGUGAUCGUCAUCGCCGCGAGAUUUGAAGAGCCAAGACAUGGUUUUUGAGUGAGAGAGGUUGGAUUUGGGGUUUUCAGUUUUUUUUGCACGGGGUUACGAAUAGCAAGAGAGAAGAAACGGUACGUUUUAAUACCUUUCCAAAACGCACCGUUUGUUGUUUGUUCGUUUUGAUACCUUCCCAAACGUGAAAUAAACGAACAAUAAUUAUACAAAAUAAACGGAAACAAAACCUACUUUUUAAAACGGGAAAAUAUCGUUUUAUACGUGAUGUUUUUAAGAAUGGUCAUUUUAUAUGUAAACUUUUAGAUCGAUCAAAUAAAAUAUGAUAAAAAUGUUGAUCCGCUAUUUAAACAAAACAUAAAGUUUGCCUGGCCAAAAUUUCCGAAAUGUUAACUUGUAUUAACGGAUCUGAUAACCCUCGUUAGCAGACGUUAGUCGUCUUCCGUUAAUACCAAACGAUUUUUUGUGAUGAGUACAAACCUUAAAAUUCCCAAAUCGAUUUUUCAUUCCCUAAUUCUUCAUAAUCCCCAAAAUUUGAACUAUUCUCGAUAUAUUUUUUUUGAGCUCAAAAUCUCCAUUUUGUGUAGAUAUGAGUUUAAAAAAUUUGAGUGUUCAAGAAGGAGGAAGUGGGAACCUUGGGUUUCCUUCAAAGUGUCAUUGGGGGAGAGAUUUCAUCAUCUAUAUAUCAAGCUCGACGAAGAACCCAAGAAGAUCCUUCUUCUGUUGUCCAACAUAUCAAGAUGUAAGUAGAUUUGAAUUUGUUUUUUUUGGUGUUUGAUCGGUAAAAAGUUGUCGUUGUAAAUGCAGGACCAUUUGUUUAAGUGAGUCGAAGAUUGUGUGUAUGAAGAGGUUGUAGAUGCAAUACUGAUAAUCUCUAUGAUUGAUAGCUAGAUAAACAAUGUCAAAUUUCAGGUUGUAGUCGAGAUUGCAGAAUUAAAGGUUUUGAUCCAAGAAUUGAAGGAAGAUGAAAUGUGGAGCAAAAUGGAAUUGAAGAUAUGGAAAUCGAUGACCAAAUUGUGCUUGGUGUGCCUUUGUAUAACAGUCAUUGCAAUUAUGAUCAUAAUGUUCUAUAAGACCAAAAACCAUAAGCUUGUUCUUGGUUACUAGUGUUUUGUGUUUGUAAUAAAAUGUUUUUAUGGUACUGAAAUGUUUGUUUGGCAAUGAUAAUCAGUCCUAGUGUUUUGUCUUAGUGUUGUGAUUGUAAUGAAAUGCUACUAGAUGCUUGUUUAACAAUGAGAAUCACCAAAAUGAAACUCAUUCAUACAUUAUAAAACUUGUGUCACAAAGACAAGUCGAAACCACAAAAUGAAAUCGAUACUAAGCUUAUGUCAUAAAGACAAAUCCAUUAUGUCAACCACCAAAAAUAAACUUAUGAGAAAGCUUAAGUUCAAACAACAACAAAAAGAAACUUGUGACUAAUCUUGUCUUGAACACUCAAACCAUGAUGCAAAUCCACCAAGUCCUUGUGGUUGAGCAUGUGGCUCAGUUUGUGCUUGUGCUUGUGGUUCUGUUUGGGAUUGUACUUGUGAUGCUCCACCUGUCUCCCUUGGUCUUUCUGAUGUUCCGCCUGUUGCCCUUGGUCCUUGUGAUCGAAUAUGAGAUUGUGAUCCUUGAUGAGGUUGUGAUCCGUGUAUUUGCUCUUGCGAUUCGAGCACUUGAGAUCGUGAUCCUUAAUGAGAUUGUGAACUUUGAUGAGGUUGUGAUCUUAGCACUUGUGAUUCCUCCUAAGUUAAAUAUGACAGUCUGAACAGUUGCAUGAUUAAGUGAGUUGUAAAACAUAUAAAAAAAAACAAGAAUACAAACCUGAUUUAUUCGUGGAUGACCUCUUGGUCUCUUUGGUGGAAUCAGAAUAGUGGCAUUUUUGCAGCUUUGCUUGUUUGCCCUUGUUGAAGGCAGUUAGAGCAUGUCAUGAUUCUCUUUUGCAGUGGCAUCUUGUUCUUAUUUGAAGAAGAAGAAGUCUCAUUUCUUCCUUUUCUCCUAACAUAAUUACUCGGUCUUCCAACAUUUCCUUUUGUCCAUGGUGGUGGCAAAACAGGGAGCCUAUUGGUUUUAGGCCACAAUGGCAUACCUUGGACAAGGCUAAUACCAUCUUUAUAAGUUUUUCGCCAGAUUACCUUUGUGUAAAACUUGCUCACAUAGUCUGCAACUGUUUCUCUUCUUCCUAUUAUCACAGGUGUCGCAUAAAUACAUGGGAUCCCCACCAUCUACCACUUCCUGCGACCACAAGUUCUCUUCUCCGUAUCAACAUAGUAGCUAACACCAUUCACAUCAAUUUGAUACAAAUUGUUUCUGGACAUAUAUCUCUCGCAAUUUCUAACCCCAACUAUCAUUUUCUCAAUCUCAAGAUGGGCUCUCUUUGUGAACCUUGUCUUCAAUUUGUCAGCAAUGAUAUACGUCUUCGUAGUUAUGACCAUGCAUUACCUCUGGAUGUACUCUAGCUAAUCCAACAAAGGCUUUCUCCUAGCCUGUUUAAUAGUCUUAUUAAAAGACUCACACUGAUUAUUGAGGCUGUCAUUGCAACGUGUCCAAUUCUAAAGAAGGCUCUCGACCAUGUCAUUGGACUAGUAAGUUGCGAGUGGCAUGCGCAUGAGGAUUGUAUCUCUUUAGCUCUUCCAUAUUAUUCAUGAACACUUCUUCAGUGUAGCUUCAAAUUGUUUUUCAAAGAGACAUUGUAGUUCUAUCUCAUGGUUGUCUCUCUUCCAAUUGUCCAUUAUAUGCCUUGAAUAUUGUCGAUGCUCAACUUCUGGAAGUAUGGUAUUGAUAGCUUUGACUAGACCCUGUAAAAUAACACAAAAACAUAAGCGUAAACCCUUCAUAAAAGACAUUAAACUGAAGCAAAAGAUGAUAAAAUUAACUGAUUAUUUAUCUGAAAUGAUAACUAGAUGUUGCAUUUCACAGUCCCAAACUAGUAGAGAGCUGUCUCAAAAACCAGUCCCAAUUAUCAUUGUUUUCUAUCUCAACAACUGCCCAAGCUAUAGGAACAAUCCUCUUAUCUCCAUCUCUUCCAACUACAGCUAAAAGGUGACCUUUUACAUCCCAUUUUAGAAAACCCAUCUAUUCCUAUCACAGGUCUACAAGUUCGCUUCCAAGAAUCCUUUUGAGAUUUAAAGCAGAUAUAGCACCAGAGAAAAGAAUCCUUUUGUGAUAUAAAGCAGCUAUAGCAUCAGAGAAACCUUUGCUUGCUUCCAAUAAAAAGCCCUACUGUUGUCUCUAUCUCAAACUCUGUCUCUGGGUUCUACUUUAAAACCUCCGCUUGAUAAUCUCAUAUUCUUGAAAAGUGAUCAUUAUGAGUAGCAUGUCAUGCUUUCAACACUUUGGUCUUGGCCUUUGCACAUUGGUCUGGAGUCACAUCCAAAUUGAAUUCUCUCUGAAUCUCAACAACCAUCUCGUUCUUUGAAAUAUUUGGAUUCACUCUCAGCCUUUCAUCAAACAAAAGUGCAAUGGAAGACCGCUUCAACAUCUUUGAAUAUCCUGACCUAACACAAGUAUGCAUAUAAAAUCUUACUUGCAUCUUAUGUUUUGUCUUCUCAUACGAACAAUAUACUUUCCAACCACAUUUAACACCAUCAACACCAAUUUAUGACCACUUCGCAGCAACAACCAUAGAUUCAGACCCAUAAAGAGAAAUGGUAUACCAUGUCUUUAAAGAGUACAUCAAAAGAACACGCUUGAAGUCGUGUUUAUAUCCUCUUCACCGCGUAAACCACCAUUAUAAUCGUUAUCUCCACCACCAACCACAUCAUCAACGACAUUGCAGUCUUCAUCACCAUACACGGCGCAGUCUUCUUCAUUUUUCAGGGUCAGGCUCAAAUGUAGGUUCUUCAUCCUCCUCUUUUUAAUGUCUGACUCUUCUUCGUUUUUGUUUUCAAAGCCGCUUUGAAACUCGAGCUUUAACUACGAUAGAAGACUCUACUACGCCUACAGCCGGCAGAGCUAGAACUCCGUUAUCAAACUCUAAAACUGCUUCCGCUGGUGGAGCUCGAACAACAUCUUUGGUGUCAUCUUCGCCUCGUGGUGGAGCUUCAUCAUUGUCUAAUUUGCCUUCCAUUGAUACAAUCUAGGACUCCAAGGAUACAAAUUCAAGAUGAAAUCAAAUCAAAAUCGCGAUUUCGCCAAAGUAAGAAUUAGGGAUUUGGUUUUUGGAAAUUAGGGAUUUUGAAAUCAAAAUGGGAAUUUCUGUUUCAGUUUAUGAAACGACAUUGUUUUAGGCAUUAACAGAAAAAAUUAACGUCUGCUUACAGGGGUUAUCGGAUCUGUUAAUGCAAGUUAACGUCUCGGGGAUUUUGGUCAGGUCAACUUUAUGUUUUGUGUUAAAUGGCGGGUCAACGUCUUUAUCAUGUUUUAUUUGGCCGACCUAAAAGUUCACGUAUAAAAUGGCCACUUUUGAAAGUUCACGUAUAAAACGACAUUUUUCCCUUUUCAAAAACCUAAUUUAUUUCGCAUAAUUAUUGUUCGUUUUGAAAAGUAGGUUUUGAUUUAAUAUUAAAUUUAUUCGGGGAAAAAGAAUUAUACAUUUACAAGUAGGAAAAAUGGGUAAAAAAAACCUCACCUUUCCCAAAUACAUUUAAAAAAACCUCAACUUUUUGUAGGUUUUUAAACCCUCACCUUUUCAAAAAUGGUAAAAUAACAAUUAGCAUUAUUAAACCAAAUAAAUACAAAUUAAAUACUAAAUAAACUAUUAUAUUAAGACAUAAAAAACAACAUAAUUUAUAAUCUAUCUUUUCCAAAUUUGAGUUUAGGAUUUUUUUUCUUCUAGAAUUUAGUUGUUUUUUGUGAUAUAAAAAAUAAGUUUCAUUGCCAUUAGAAAUUGGUAUGUAAACUAAAACAAUUUAUAACAUAGCACAUUUUAUUUUAUUUGUGUUCAACUAUGUUCUAACCUUUGAAGUUUUGGAUUUAAAAUGGAUAAAAUUUAUUAACACAAAUUUGAUCUAAACUUGAGUGACCUAAUAUUUGUUCUAAACUUGUGUGAUCAAAACUUUAUUCUAAACUUAAGUGUCCAAACCAAAUAAAAUUUUAUUAAAUAUAUUUUAUAUUUAGUUAUUACAAAAUUAGUUUAGUUUUACGUUGAUGAAUUUCUUGAACUCAACCAAAUUAAUCUUGUUUCAGUUCACUGCAUAUGUAGAAGAAUAUAUAUCUAUAUAUAUAUACAUAUAUCAUACCUAAAAUAAAAUAAUUAUUUUUAUCCAAAAUUUAAUUAAACUUACACUCGAAACAAAAUAAAUAAACUUUGAAUAGACUUUGGAUAUGUUAUCUUCAGUAUGAAACCAAUUGUCUGAACCAAAUUUAAAUUGUUUUCACAUAAAACAUUUUACUAGAAGAAAAUAUUUAAGAGCUAUGUCUUUGGUUAGAUUAGAAUCGACAUAUUUCGUUUUCAAGAUUGUUUAGUGGUAGUUUGUUGUUUUGCGUCAAGUUUUUUUUAAUGUUUUCUUUUCCUAUUUUUGUCGGGUUCAUCUCUUGCUUUUGGACCGGUCAAUCUAUAACUUUUCACCUUUAUAAUAAUAGGUAAAGCGGUUGUGUGACUCUUUCAUUUUCCUCUACUCAAGUUUAAGACUAAAUCUGGUCAAAUUUUUAUUAGACUAGUUAUGAUGGU